CGAAUUUAAGUGACCCUCAAAAGCAGACAGCACAAAAAUUCUUGAAAUGGAAGCUUAUCCACGUGGCACAUGCGCUUAGAACCCUAAAUAAUUACAAAUUUGGCUUUAGAGAAAUUUCGUUUCCCAAAUCCCCAUCACCAAUGUUUAACAGAAUUGAAUAUUCUCAAUACCUGAUUUUUCUAUCACUUCUGCCCCUUUUAAAUAAAUCAAGUCUUCUUUCUAACGCCUUUGUUCAAAAUUCGAUUCUUUGAAUAAAAGAAAUAGGAAGAGAAAAAUAAAAGGUUCUUGAAACUUUUUGAGAAUCUUGUUUGAUCGAAGUAUUUUGUUUUAUCUUCUUUGAAGAUUGGAAUUUUGAUCGGUUAUAAGAAGAGAUGUGGGUUGGUUUUGAUGUUCUGUGCGCUUCGAGCAUCUGCUUUCUGUAUUGUUAUUCCGACAGUAAGAUGUAAAUAUGUGUAUAUGUUCUUCUGUUUUAAUUGGUAUUUAAUUAUGUUUGCUUUAAUGGAUUAUUUAAUUUGAUUCAAUCUAUUUAAGCACGAAAGUUUCUUAAUUUGUAGAAUCUUGAAUUUUUUGGGGUCUUGGGAGUUUUGGAUUGUGAUUUUGAUGAUCACUAGGUAGUAUGAUAUAAGUUGAAUUCAGAAAUGGAUCAUAACUCAUAAGACAGUUAAUAAGAAUUCGAAAUUUUGAAGUCUGGUAUUGAGUUUAAAGUUUCCAUUUCUCAAUUCUUUUUUGAGAUUUGUUAAGUUGUAUGAUUGAUGGAAAAAUAAGUCCUUCCAGUAUAUGAAUGGCAUGCAGCUGUACUACAGAAGAUGGACAAGAUUGUAACUUUUUUCUGCUUCUUGUUUAUUCUGUCUAGUAUUGACUUGUCCCCUUACUGAACAUAUCACUAAUGGCUAACACAAGUGAAUUUUCUGUAUUUUGAGGUGUAGUUAUUUGCAAUUCUGACUAUAGUGCACUGAUUGUAAGAAACUUUAUGGCAAGCUUGUAAAUAUGACUCCAUAUUAUAAUUUUUAAUUAUCUGUCUUAUGGUUUUGAAGAUUUGUGGGAGGGCUGAAACGGUAUGAGGAAUGAGAAUCGUAUUAAAGAAAGGAGGAGGGAUCGGAUUAGUAUUAAGUUGGGAAAGAUAAUGCAGUGUCUAUGCUCAGGGGAACAGUUACUUGGAGAAGAAAUGGUCCCUUCUUCUGAAUCUCUCGCAACAAAGGAUUAUACACACAGUGUUUAUUCAUCUCAAGCCGAAGAAGCUGAACGGAAACCUGACACUGGCAAUAUUGAAGAAGCUGAAUCAUCAUUACGAGAAAGUGGUUCUUUAAAUUAUGAGGUUGGCUAAGAAUUGGAAACAAAUAGACGCAAAGCUAUACAUUGUAAUCAAUGUCCUCAACCCUAAUCAAUUUUUUUUUAUUUUUUUGUUGGAUGGCCUAAACCAUAAUCUUGAUCUAACCUUUUAUUAAUAAAUCCAUAUUAUUACCUUGGGAAACAAAAAUUAAAGAAUUUGAUUAAGGGGAAUUUGCACUUUUUCGUCCUCAAUCUUCCCAAAUGUAACUAAUAAUUCAUUUUUAACCUUUCAAUUAUAUAGCAAAACUCAUCAUUCCCUCUUGUUUGACCAUUAAAUGGCGGAUUUGUCAUUCUCCUUAAAUAAAUAAAUAUAAAAGAGAGCAAUAAAACGACAAAAAUAAGGAAAAAUUGCAAAUGGAAUCACAUAACAUGUCAAAAAGUAAAAAUAAAUCCCACUUCAAUCAAUCACAUAAUAACACAUAAAACAAAAAGAAUUUAGAAAUUUUCUCCUUCCCUGAACAAAAUCAUCCACCCACCCUAUCCUACCCUACCCACCUAAUCCAUAAGCAUCUUUUCAUUUUUGAAUAAGUCAUUCUCAUUAUCUUUCAUAAUCAAGUAGGCACUCCUCCCCACGCCCAGCCAAACAAAACCUCUAGACGGCAAUUCUUACUAAUCAAAUGUGUUGGCGCUAAAAAAUAACACCAAUAGAUGCGAGGCCCAUUCGCAUCCACGCGGGAAAAUUUCGAUGCGUUUUGAUUGUUGAUUUGAUCGAACAGUGUAAUGGAUGCAGGAGAUGCUCCUUCGACGCGAGAUUAAAUAGUUCAGGCAUCGACAAAGUGAUCGAAAGGCUUGCGAACGAGCAAUGAUAAUCUCGCUCAAGCACGAUCACAACUUUUGCAAAUAAAUGAUAAAAGAGAGUAAAAAGGGACACGAUCAAAUGGCAAGAAAUGUAUGAAGUUGUAUUUAUUUUCCCCUCCAAAAUCUGCUAAAAAUUAGUAUACUCGUUCCUUGUUCUUUUUCUCAUUUUCCCCCCCCCCCCCCCCCCCCCCCUCUUUUUUUCUUUUACUGGGAAAGGGAAAAGGUGCUGGGUAACGAGGGUAAAAACUAUCUGCGAGAUUGAUGAAUUGGCAAAUUAUGAAUGGUUUUUUGAUUUAUGAUUUUAUCAUCUUUGCAGAAGCUGCUCAAUCGUGCGCAGUUAUCCUGGAUAUUGUUGAGUCUUCAUUGCCAGCAGGCUUGCCUGAAAACAUUGGUGGUGACUGUAAAUUGCAGGAAACAAUAAACAAGGCUGUAGAGCUGCUUCCAGGAUUAUGGAAACUUGCUGAUCAUCCUAGUGAAGCUAUUUUGUCUUACCGUCGGGCCCUUCUACAUCAAUGGAACCUUGAUGCACAAAUUACGGCUAAGAUACAAAAAGAGUUUGCCAUUUUUCUUCUCUAUAGUGGAGUUGAAGCAAAUCCCCCAAGUCUGCAAUCCCAAAUGGACAGUUCUUUUGUACCUAAAAACAAUACUGAGGAAGCUACUCUUCUUUUGAUAAUUCUUUUAAGGAAAGUUACCCUCAAGAGAAUUGAGUGGGAUCCAUCAAUUUUGGAUCACCUUUGCUAUGCAUUAUCUAUAUCAGGUGGAUUAAGGGCUNGUUUUGAAGAUUUGUGGGAGGGCUGAAACGGUAUGAGGAAUGAGAAUCGUAUUAAAGAAAGGAGGAGGGAUCGGAUUAGUAUUGAGUUGGGAAAGAUAAUGCAGUGUCUAUGCUCAGGGGAACAGUUACUUGGAGAAGAAAUGGUCCCUUCUUCUGAAUCUCUCGCAACAAAGGAUUAUACACACAGUGUUUAUUCAUCUCAAGCCGAAGAAGCUGAACGGAAACCUGACACUGGCAAUAUUGAAGAAGCUGAAUCAUCAUUACGAGAAAGUGGUUCUUUAAAUUAUGAGGUUGUCUCUCUAAUUCUUCUUAUGCUGAAAUCCUUUUGAUGUUUCUUUUAUCCGUAUCUUUGGUUGAAUUUUCACUCAUUUCAAUUUGAUUUUGCUUUACUUUCUCAUCCAUAUAUCGAAUGCUGUUUUUUUACUAAUCUUUCUAUCAUCAGAGUUAAAAUACGAGUAUCUUGGCUAGCUGAGUCUUUGAGUAAGAGCAUGUUUUGCUGUGCUUAAAAUUUCUCUAGAAAUUAAGUUAAAGAUUUUCUAGGAAAGUAAGUGUUGUCUGUAAAAAUCAUGCUUGUCAAAUAAGUAAUUUAAAAGUAAGUUUGACUUACUUUUAAGCAUUAGCAAAUAUGCCCCAAGAAUUGGUGCUUCGACGAAAUGGCAGCUUGUUUAUUUAC
rnacentral:lncRNA from 1 species